rnacentral:rRNA from 1 species
AACGAACGCUGGCGGCAUGCCUAACACAUGCAAGUCGAACGAGACCUUCGGGUCUAGUGGCGCACGGGUGCGUAACGCGUGGGAACCUGCCCUUAGGUUCGGAAUAACUCCCCGAAAGGGGUGCUAAUACCGGAUAAUGUCUUCGGACCAAAGAUUUAUCGCCUUUGGAUGGGCCCGCGUUGGAUUAGCUAGUUGGUAGGGUAAAAGCCUACCAAGGCGACGAUCCAUAGCUGGUCUGAGAGGAUGAUCAGCCACACUGGGGCUGAGACAAGGCCCAGACGAAGGGGGGGAGCAGCGGUGGAGAAUAGGGAGCAGGGAGGGAAAGUGGGGUGAAGGAGUGGGGGGUUGGAGACGAAGGUAGUGGGGUGAUAAACCUCGCUGGCCGGGGAUGAUAAUAACAGUGGGGGGAGAUAAGGCCCCGGCUAACUCCGUGACAGCGGCAGGGGAAAAAAGGGAAGAGCACCCGACGGACC